rfam:Candidatus Staskawiczbacteria bacterium RIFCSPHIGHO2_02_FTLL_34_9 rifcsphigho2_02_scaffold_6437, whole genome shotgun sequence.
GGUGGUGAUUAUACCGGUGUUGUCCCACCCGAUCCCAUUUCGAACUCGGAAGUGAAAUGCACCAAGGCCGAUGGUAGUGCGAUGAGCGCGAGAGUAGGUAGUCACCACCU